rnacentral:rRNA from 1 species
AGCGGCGGACGGGUGAGUAAUACUUAGGAAUCUACCUAGUAGUGGGGGAUAGCACGGGGAAACUCGUAUUAAUACCGCAUACGUCCUACGGGAGAAAGGGGGCAACUUGUUGCUCUCGCUAUUAGAUGAGCCUAAGUCGGAUUAGCUAGAUGGUGGGGUAAAGGCCUACCAUGGCGACGAUCUGUAGCUGGUCUGAGAGGAUGAUCAGCCACACCGGGACUGAGACACGGCCCGGACUCCUACGGGAGGCAGCAGUGGGGAAUAUUGGACAAUGGGGGAAACCCUGAUCCAGCCAUGCCGCGUGUGUGAAGAAGGCCUUUUGGUUGUAAAGCACUUUAAGCAGUGAAGAAGACUCUUCGGUUAAUACCCGGAGACGAUGACAUUAGCUGCAGAAUAAGCACCGGCUAACUCUGUGCCAGCAGCCGCGGUAAUACAGAGGGUGCAAGCGUUAAUCGGAAUUACUGGGCG